CAAUCAUUCCCCCAAAUUCAACUGAUGCCCUCUUUAUCCCAAAUCCCUCGAUUUGUUCAUCGUCUUAGCAUCCCUUUUAUCUGUUACAGAUUCAUCAACGAUCGUUCCCCCAAUCCAAAACCGUCGACCAAAAUCCAUGGUCUCCUCCGUCAGUUGGCACCCUUGUUCAAUCAUUCCCCAUCGUCUGCCUCCCUCCGCCCUCUAAUAACCGGCCCUCCCUCUGAUUCCUCUAUCGAUCCGAUAGAUAUGGAAACAACCUUCCAAUCGCAUUUGAGGUUCAAUUCACUAGCCGAUCAACUGUGACAGCUUAUUGAGGAGUUUCAGGGCGGCGAUGGUGCCUCAAUUUUAUAUAUUGAGGGUGUAUCGGAACAAGUUCUUCACAAAAGGCAUAUGAUUAUUGCAACAAUUCACCAAAUCUAAUCUUUGCACUUUCGAUUUAUGUUUCUAAUUGUAUCAUCUUUUGAAUUUGGUCUUCUGGUAGGUAUUUAUAACCUCUUCCUAGCUUUUCUCGAUUUAUAAGUUCAAACUUUUGUUUAUAGUUCCAAUUCAGUAAAUUAGUUUUUGAUUUUGUAUAAAUAUAUUCGUUCAUAGAUGUUUCUCUUUUGAUGGCAACUAUUUAUAGGCCAUUAUUUAUGCGUUUGUAAGGCCAUUUAUGAAGAGUAUAUUUCGAAGAACUAAGAGAAUGGUGGCUGAGCUGUUUGUGUUUGGAACUUGUAUGGAUCCAGAUUUUGGGUGAUGUCUUGGGUUGUUCUUUCUGCAACCUACUGCAUAAAGCAGGAGGAUUGUAUGUUGUUAGUUGCUUAUACUAAAGGACCAAACAAGAAGCCAUAUAUGGCUAUAAUCAAGAUUUGGAAGAAAUUGUGGUCAAUAUUGAAGAGGUGAAAAACGAUAAAUUGAAGAAAAUAAGGAAAUAUAGACAGGAAGACAUGAAAACUCUUUGAAAUUGGAGAAAGAAGAAGGCAAAAAAUUUUCCAAAGCAAAACACAGACUCAAAGACGACGACGACUGCUUGAUAUUGACAUUUACGGGGAGCACCAUUAACGGCUGUCAAAAACCUAAUUCGUGAGUUUUGUGAGGGCGUUAGAGAUUUGUUGACUCUUCGAUUUGUAGCGGACAAUCUAGAGGAUAGAGAGUUGAUGGCCGAAGAUGACAUGGAUUCCAGAAGGUGGUGCUUUUAGGGGAAACGAAUCGACAAAGGGAGAAGUUGAGUGAUUAUCGAUGAUAUGUAAUUACGAUAUUUGUUUUGGAGAGUGAAAUAUAUUUGAUUUAUUAUUGUUUU